CAGCAGCCGCGGUAAUACGAAGGGUGCAAGCGUUAAUCGGAAUUACUGGGCGUAAAGCGUGCGUAGGCGGUUUGUUAAGUCUGCUGUGAAAUCCCCGGGCUCAACCUGGGAAUGGCAGUGGAUACUGGCAAGCUAGAGUGUGUCAGAGGAUGGUGGAAUUCCCGGUGUAGCGGUGAAAUGCGUAGAGAUCGGGAGGAACAUCAGUGGCGAAGGCGGCCAUCUGGGACAACACUGACGCUGAGGCACGAAAGCGUGGGGAGCAAACAGGAUUAGAUACCCGCGUAGUCCCUGUCUCUUAUAC
rnacentral:rRNA from 1 species